AUAUAAUGAAUGAUUACACAUAUCUGUGUUACUUAACAUAAAAAUAUGAAAAAUAGGUAUUUAUCUGAAGCUAUGUUAUUCAGAAAUUACAUGAAUGCUAUUUAAACAAAGCAACAUAGGACUAGUUAUCAGUGGCAAUUAGUUGUAAUUGAUAGGAGGAUUUGUUUGUUUGUUUUAAGAUUUUAUUUAUUUGACAGAGAGAGACAGCGAGAGAGGGAACACAAGCAGGGGGAGUGGGAGAGGGAGAAGCAGGCUUCCCGCCGAGCAGGGAGCCCGAUGCGGGGCUCGAUCCCAGGACCCUGGGAUCAUGACCUGAGCCGAAGGCAGACGCUGAACGACUGAGCCACCCAGGCGCCCCCCGAUAGGAGGAUUUGAUGGGAUUCCAUGUUUAGCAAAGAAAAAAAAAGUAACAGGUUAAGAAAAACACUUACGUGAAAUCUCCCUUUAAGUCUUGAUUUCCAUGGGCCAAAACACUAGAAACAGAGAAAGAAGGAGAGGCAGAGAGAGGGAUAGGGUGUUUGUUUUACCAGUAUCAUACUAGUUGUUUGACCUGGGACGAACUAGUUCACUCUUCUGUAUGUUAGUUUCCAUACAUGUAAAAUGAGGAGACUAGGACUAUGAAUUUUAUAGGGUUGUUCUGAGGUGUAGCACCCCCUUAUCCUCUGUUUUGCCUUCCACAGUUUCAGUUACCCAAGGUCAGUCAUGGUCCAGAAGCAGAUGAUCCUCCUGCUGACAUAUCCUGAGAAGGUCAAUAGUAGCCGGAGGCUACCUCACAAUGCCUCCAUUAUUCAUCUCACUUCAUCUCAUCGCAUAGGCAUUUUAUCAUCUCACAUCAUCACAAGAAGAAGGAAGGGGGACCCCAAAUGUGGGUCGAAGAUCAGGUGGAAGCCGGUCGUGGGGCCAUGGAAGAACUCACCUGAGGCAGAACAAAGGAUACAGAAGUUUAUGAAUACACCCCAAGGGAACAAUGGGCAGGACAGCAAAGCAGAGACUGUCUGCAAGGAGGCAGUGGGAAUGUAAUCCUAACCUGUCAGUCUGGAAUUUUCUGGUCAGCGCCAAUGAAGCCAUGCUCCUAAUAAGUUCUCUUGUCUCCCAAAGGAAGGUUACCUUGCCAGAAGAUUUUUUUUUCAUUUAUGACUUCCUUGUUCCACACCCUUUUUGCUUUUCAAAACCUUUCCUUCUGUAGCUCUCUGAGGCUCCAUUCUAUUGGAUGGGAUGCUGCUGAUUUGUGAAUCAUUCAAUAAAGCCAAUUCAAUCUUUAAAUUUACUCCACUGCAUUUUUUUUUCUUUUUUUUUUACAAUUUCAUUUGUAUUUUGUGAGUGAACUGUCCAUAAUUGUACUUGAAUGUUUUCCUCUUGGGGUAUAGAUUUUGGAUUUUGGAUUUCGGAUUUUGAGACAUCAUUAGAAAUAUUUCUCUAUGCCCAGAUUA